UUUCAAGAAAAAUGAGAAUCAUAUUGUCUUAUUGCAUGAGACGAAUGCUAUGAUCUCAUUGGAACAAAGCUAUGUAUCAAGAUUCACUACCAUUGUACCAUUGUGUCUCCAUUUUCUUUGUUUCUCACUGCCUAAUUCCACUCAUACUUUUUACAAGAAAAAGAAUAGUUUACUAAUAGUAGGGUCCAAUAGAACCAACACUCUAGUUCAUUAAGUUGAAUCCAAUAUAAACUCUUGCAAUGAUGCCCGCAAAAAUCUGCAACUCUCUGAUAUCGUAUAAUGAAUUUGUGAUGUAAACCUAAAGAAAAAUGCUCCCAUUCUAUUUGUGCUCAACAUUCAAGAGUUAUGCCUUGAUCAAUUUUCUGUUGACCAUUCUAGAUCGAGAUGAUUCAACACUUCCACUAGUAGAAGUGCCUGUGCUCUUAC
rnacentral:misc_RNA from 1 species